rnacentral:rRNA from 1 species
UGAGCAAUCUGCCCCUGACUCUGGGAUAAGCGCUGGAAACGGCGUCUAAUACUGGAUACGAACCGUGGAGGCAUCUUCAACGGUUGGAAAGAUUUUUUGGUCAGGGAUGAGCUCGCGGCCUAUCAGCUUGUUGGUGAGGUAAUGGCUCACCAAGGCGUCGACGGGUAGCCGGCCUGAGAGGGUGACCGGCCACACUGGGACUGAGACACGGCCCAGACUCCUACGGGAGGCAGCAGUGGGGAAUAUUGCACAAUGGGCGCAAGCCUGAUGCAGCAACGCCGCGUGAGGGAUGACGGCCUUCGGGUUGUAAACCUCUUUUAGCAGGGAAGAAGCGAAAGUGACGGUACCUGCAGAAAAAGCGCCGGCUAACUACGUGCCAGCAGCCGCGGUAAUACGUAGGGCGCAAGCGUUAUCCGGAAUUAUUGGGCGUAAAGAGCUCGUAGGCGGUUUGUCGCGUCUGCUGUGAAAUCCCGAGGCUCAACUUCGGGUCUGCAGUGGGUACGGGCAGACUAGAGUGCGGUAGGGGAGAUUGGAAUUCCUGGUGUAGCGGUGGAAUGCGCAGAUAUCAGGAGGAACACCGAUGGCGAA